GAUAUGGCAGAUCAAACUUUAGAAUCUAAUGAAUCAUUAAUGGGUGAAGCCAAAUCUACACUUAAAAAUCACUCUAAUGUCUUCUUAGCUCAAGAUUAGUACAAGUUUACCUCCAAGCUCCAAGCUCCAACAAAUUACAAAAACCCAAAACUAAGGAUGGGAAGUAGGAUUGUGUAUUGAUGCCUUCAGAAUGAAGGGGUUUUGAUCCUUCAAUGGGAUUUGGAUUUGGCUAUUCAAAAUGAUGUUUCUACGCUUGGGCCAUUUUCUGCCCGCGCCCAAUCAUAAAAUAUUGGUCGCAAUCGCACUCACUACAAUUGUAGUUAGUCCAUCAUGAUCACAAAUAGCUGACUAUCUUAACUUGGCACGAUCGAUGGCGUACGCCCGUGAUCGUGAUAAAUAGGGAAUGGAUCGUGAUCCUACAUCAGCUUGUCCAGCUCUUGCACUUUAAUUCCUUUUUUGAUCCUUUUCAGCACAAGUUUGCUUCUUUUCUUCUCAGCACUUGUACACCUGUAAAAUAUGAGAAUUAGUAUAUAUAACCCAAAAUAUAUCUCAAUUUUACAUUCAAAUCAUAGUUGUAUACACG
rnacentral:lncRNA from 1 species